rnacentral:rRNA from 1 species
AUACCGCAUAAGCGCACAGCAGGGCAUCCUGCGGUGUGAAAAGAUUUAUCGGGAUGGAAUGGAUCCGCAUCUGAUUAGCCAGUCGGCGGGGUAACGGCCCACCGAAGCGACGAUCAGUAGCCGGCCUGAGAGGGCGGACGGCCACAUUGGGACUGAGACACGGCCCAGACUCCUACGGGAGGCAGCAGUGGGGGAUAUUGCACAAUGGGGGGAACCCUGAUGCAGCGACGCCGCGUGGGUGAAGAAGUAUUUCGGUAUGUAAAGCCCUAUCAGCAGGGAAGAUAAUGACGGUACCUGAGUAAGAAGCCCCGGCUAACUACGUGCCAGCAGCCGCGGUAAUACGUAGGGGGCAAGCGUUAUCCGGAUUUACUGGGUGUAAAGGGAGCGCAGACGGAAGAGGAAGUCAGAUGUGGAAGCGAUGGGCAUAACCCAUGGAGUGCAUUUGAAACUCCUUGUCUAGAGUACUGGAGGGGUGAGCGGAAUUCCUGGUGUAGCGGUGAAAUGCGUAGAUAUCAGGAAGAACACCGGCGGCGAAGGCGGCUCACUGGACAGCAACUGACGUUGAGGCUCGAAAGCGUGG